GGGUGGCCUAGUGGUUAGAGCAUCUUGCUCUGAUGCAGGAGGUCGCAGGUUCAAACCCUGGCAGAGUCA